UCAGUUAUCGUUUAUUUGAUGGUACCUUUACUACAUGGAUAUCCGUGGUAAUUCUAGAGCUAAUMCAUGCUAAAUACUCCGACUCACGAAGGAGUGUAUUUAUUAGAUAAAAAACCAAUGCCCCUCGGGGCUUCUUGGUGAUUCAUGAUAACUCAGCGGAUCGCAUGGCCUUGCGCCGGCGACGGUUCAUUCAAAUUUCUGCCCUAUCAACUUUCGAUGGUAAGGUAUUGGCUUACCAUGGUUUCAACGGGUAACGGGGAAUUAGGGUUCGAUUCCGGAGAGGGAGCCUGAGAAACGGCUACCACAUCCAAGGAAGGCAGCAGGCGCGCAAAUUACCCAAUCCCGACUCGGGGAGGUAGUGACAAUACAUACUGAUACAGGGCUCUUUUGGGUCUUGUAAUCGGAAUGAGUACAAUUUAAACCCCUUAACGAGGAACAAUUGGAGGGCAAGUCUGGUGCCAGCAGCCGCGGUAAUUCCAGCUCCAAUAGCGUAUAUUAAAGUUGUUGCAGUUAAAAAGCUCGUAGUUGAACCUUGGGCCUGGCUGGCCGGUCCGCCUCACCGCGUGUACUGGUCCGGCCGGGCCUUUCCUUCUGGAGAGCCGCAUGCCCUUCACUGGGUGUGUCGGGGAACCAGGACUUUUACUUUGAAAAAAUUAGAGUGUUCAAAGCAGGCCUUUGCUCGAAUACGUUAGCAUGGAAUAAUAGAAUAGGACGUGCGGUCCUAUUUUGUUGGUUUCUAGGACCGCCGUAAUGAUUAAUAGGGAUAGUCGGGGGCAUCAGUAUUCAAUUGUCAGAGGUGAAAUUCUUGGAUUUAUUGAAGACUAACUACUGCGAAAGCAUUUGCCAAGGAUGUUUUCAUUAAUCAGUGAACGAAAGUUAGGGGAUCGAAGACGAUCAGAUACCGUCGUAGUCUUAACCGUAAACUAUGCCGACUAGGGAUCGGGCGAUGUUUCUAUCUUGACUCGCUCGGCACCUUACGAGAAA
rnacentral:rRNA from 1 species